AAUGAACGCUGGCGGCGUGCUUAACACAUGCAAGUCGAUCGGUAACAGGUGUAGCAAUACAUGCUGACGAGAGGCGGACGGGUGAGUAAUGCUUGGGAAUCUGCCUAUUAGUGGGGGACAACCCGGGGAAACUCGGGCUAAUACCGCAUACGCUCUACGGAGGAAAGCCGGGGACCGCAAGGCCUGGCGCUAAUAGAUGAGCCCAAGUCGGAUUAGCUAGUUGGUAGGGAACGGCCUACCAAGGCGACAAUCCGUAGCUGGUCUGAGAGGACGACCAGCCACACCGGAACUGAGACACGGUCCGGACUCCUACGGGAGGCAGCAGUGAGGAAUAUUGGACAAUGGGGCGAACCCUGAUCCAGCGACGCCGCGUGGGUGAAGAAGGCCUGCGGGUUGUAAAGCCCUUUCGGUGGGGAAGAAAAGUCUCGACCUAAUACGUCGGGACCUUGACGUAACCCACUAAGAAGCACGGCUAACUCUGUGCCAGCCGCCGCAGUAAC
rnacentral:rRNA from 1 species